GAGUACCUUCCACGGCUUCCGAAGAAUCAGGUACAGGUUGGUCAUUUAUAGCGUAAACCCUGGUAGGAACUUUCGGCCUAUUCUCUCUAAUGUUGGCUGGUUCAUCAUUCAGGGUAUUAUCCUCUUGUAUUUUCGGGCAACCGGCAAUUUGGUGCUCGCUGCUUCCACACUUCAAGCACUUUCCUGCUUUCCUCCAGCAACCGGCCUCGGUAUGUCCAGGUUUCUUGCAAUACCCACAAGUUCCCAGGAAAGUUAUCGCACGACUUCCUUGUGGAGCGUUCCUAGGUUGACCUCUUCCAUUUGGUCCCCCGUUAGUUCCAUUAUUUCUUCCUCCGGCACCUCUGGCACCAGUUCCUCGACCCACUUUGGCCAGUGGAGCAUUUGUAUAAGUCGGCUCCCGACUGCUGCUAGGUGCAAAUCUUUUCUUGGCCUGGUAAGUUUUUACUUGAGUUCUAGCAACUUCAACCCUUUGAGCUCUUUCUACAGCAUCAGCAAAUGUGUCUAUCCGAACAGCAGCUAAUCCCUCCUGAAUUUCCACGUUUAGUCCCUGCACAAACCUCCGGACACGCCUUUGUUCCGUGGCUAUCAGUUCAGGAGCAAAUCGGGACAAUUUUGUGAACUGGACUUCAUAUUCGGCGACACUCAUCGCCCCUUGUUUACAUUUUAUGAAGUCGUCCUCUCUCUUUUCUUGAAUGAGAGGUGGAAGAAAUUUGGCGUUGAACUCCCUUGUGAAGUUCGCCCAGGUCCUGGGAAUAUGAUUCCUGUCCCAAUUGACCCUAAUUAGGUUCCACCAGGAACGAGCAGCUCCUUCAAACUGGAAUGCUGCAAAAGUCACUUGCCUCUCUUCCGUAUAAUUUAGAGCGGCAAAAAUAUCAGAGAUCCUUUCCCACCAACCUUCGGCUACCUCAGGUUCUGGGCCUCCGUAGAACUUAGGAGGUCCAAACUUCAGGAAUCUCUCUAAUGCCCGAUCCUCAUAAUCGAUUGGGCCUCCUUGCUGAUGCACCGCUCCAUGGGCUUGAUGCUCAGUCAUGCGCUCUAACACAUCAGUUAUUCUAUUGAUUGCGGUGGCCACUGGAUCUCCGGCCACGUUUCCCUGACCAUGGCCUGGGUUGGCCUCAGGUUCCCUAUCACUACCACCCUCGGGGUGUUGCCUAGUUGGUCUCCCACGUCCUCUAUUUCUAACUUGUAGAUCCAUAGCCUAGUUAUGCCUAUUGAUAAAAAUAAAGUGAUCAAGCGAAGAUGUUGCUAUUUAUUUACUUGUUAUUAUUAAGUGAAGUCAACAUGAAUACCAAGAGAAAGAAAAUUUAAAACACUUAAAGCAUAUAUUCACAUACCAAAGUUCAUACAACUUUAAAAGCCAAACAAUUCACGGUACAUUUAAUAUUUUCACACAUAACUCAUAUUUCGAUCUUUAUAAACAUGAAGGAAAGCAAGUCAAUAAUACACCGAUUAUUAUAACCACAUAACUAAUAGCUCAACCCUUAGUUUAGAUUCAACUUAACCUUCAUUAGUUUAGUCUUUGACAAUCCCACUAGGCCCCACUCAAUCUUCCGAUUUCGCUUCCAUAAAUUCCUCUUAAAUACGUAAUUGGCACUAAUCUUCAAGAUCACACCAUUGGCUCUUUACCUUUAACUUUCAAAAGUUAGACUUGAUUCCUUCAAUCCUACUUUUCCAAACUUAGUCAUGAUUUCUAGUCACAUCAUAAUGCGAUAUACUGAAUUCUUUUCAAUUGCAAAUACACCAUUUAAUGAAAUAUCUGGUAUUCGGGUACAAGAAUCUGACUAUAGGAUAAUUCACACCUCAGGCUGGCCAGUCCCAAGAGUAACUUACCUAUAUUUGAGAUUCCUACCCAACAUACAUGUCUAAUAUCCCAACUAUAAACUUUUGUUCCACACUUAACGAGUCAAUCCCCACAGUCCGAGAGUCCUCUCCCGGCACGAGCUCGAUAAGAGCUCUGAUACCACCUGUGGCGACCCCACUUUCCCCUAAGGCGAACCAAAGGGUUGGCGGGCCGUCUGCCCAGCUCUCGCCAGGACUCAUGCAAGCAUUCUAACCUAAAACCUUGGAGUAAUAAACUACUCUGUUACAAAACAAAUUUUCCCGAAUAAGAUCAUCCUUACAUCCAACUUAACUUCAGAGAUAGCAGAGAUAAAUUAGCCAGUCGAGGCUCUUAAACAUCCCACGUGCUACGUACCAAAAUAUAAAGUCGUACCAAUCCGGGUAGAUAAAUACAUAAAUCUCUAUUACAAAUUUACAGGCCAAGUAAUCGAAUUAGGGUUUACCCAUUUUCCCGUUUCAAGUGGCAACCCAAAAGAAAAGUGCAUUAUCUCAAUAACACAUUACAGCCCACAGAAUAAGUUAUAGCAUUCAAAUACAAUCCAAAAGGAAAACUUAAGUAAGCAUCCAACUUUCAGUUUCCAGAACCUGUUAAGGAAAACAAUAAACGUGGGGUGAGCUAAAGCUCAGUGGUGCCCCAAAAACAUGCAAUCAAUUAAAACAAUUAACACGUAUUGAUUCGAUUGAAGUAAACAAAUAGGAAGGCGAUAAUACCCAAGUGUACCUUAGACUGGUCGAGGGAUUCACCCAACGACGUUACGUCCUGAACUUACAUUAUUAUUAUAGACUCGUCGAGGGAUUCACCCAACGACUUUACGUCUAGCACUUGAUUGAUUAUUAUUGACUCGUCGAGGGAUUCACCCAACGACUUUACGUCUAGCACUUGAUUUAUUAUUAUUGACUCGUCGAGGGAUUCACCCAACGACUUUACGUCUAGCACUUGAUUCACAAAAAAAAUGUUUUACGCAAGUCACCACUCGAAAGGCUAGUGUGAUAAAGUACACAUUGCUUACUUCGAUGGGUCAAAACCACUUCAUAGUUAUAAUAUAGCAAGUUAAUAAAGCGCUUAACCACAUAACAUAAAACAAGCAGGGACACUCACCAAGAGUGAAGUUCAGAUGUCAAGUUGGGAAUCGAAUUCCGCUUCCUCGCAAUAUCCUAGAAUAUCAAAUAUUGAAAUUAUAAGCUUUUAUUCAGUCUUUAGACUCGAACACAUUGAGGUUUAUCUAAUAUAUUGCUAGUUUACUUUCCCAUAGUAAUUUCAAAAAUCUACUUAGAUUGAAACUUGACACAAAUAGUAGAAAUGUUUCUUAUAAUUUUCCUUGAGGUACUUUUCCUUAUAAAAAGGGUAACUAGUAUAAAUUUUCUGGAAAUAAGUCGACAAACCUCUUAAUAUCAAUGUUAGAAAGUUACUUUGAACAUUUCUUUAAAGCUAUGGUUCCUGCAAAAAUUAUUACUAAAACUAUUUUACCCUAAAAUAAGGUUUCUUGCCGAGCAAGUUUCCCAUGCUUUUCCCCAGAAUUAUUACAACUCGUAUUUUGGAACUUUUCCUAUAGUUAACUAUAGCUUAAGGAAAGAAAAUGAAUUAAAAUAAGACUUAGAAUUUUCAAAAGCUAUAUAACUUAUUUACUAAUCGAGGCUAGUUUGAGCUAAAGGAAAUUAUCGAGUUGGAAAGUUUUAUAAUAUAAUACUAGCUGGAAAAAUAUUUCUGAUUAAUUUGAUCACAGCUACUCGAGUUCGCAAGGUCGAUACAACUUCCACAGCUCCGAUUCCGUUUCGAAAUUAUAAUAUGGAUCAAAAUAUGACAAAAAUCACAUAGCAAAUUACUAGGGCUUCGUCAAUCAUUAGCCCUAGAUUUCAACAAGUGCAUUUCUGAAUAAAAUAAAAUGAUCAACCAAGGCUUCAUCAAUCAUUAGCACUUGGUUUCAGCAAGCCCAUCAUAAGCAACUAAAAAUAAAAUAAAAGUAAAGCCUCCAAGACAUUCCAGCAAUUAACUUUCGUCACCCUGUAGUACUUAGAAAAUCAUUCAAAUGGCCAAGAGCUUCAUCAAUCAUUAGCUCUUGAUAGCAACCAAUCACUUUCAAACCAAAAUUUCAACUAGAAACAAGGAGUAAAGUCACGGCUAAUUUAACGCUUAAAUAACUCGAGAAAUUCAGAUUACCACCAUAGCAUUUUACUAGGCUCAAUGCCAUUCACAUACCAGAAAAUUUUAGCAUGUAAGCUUCACUUGAAAUUCAGAAAUUCAAAUCACAGAUAGGCCCAACAUUCGAUUCAAGUCAAAAUUCAUUUUCCUGAAGAAACAGGACAUUAAGUCAAGACAGCCUACUUUGAGGAGUCACGUACAGCCGUACACAUGGAGGAAAAAUAUAAAAUUUCUACAGAACCAAGGCCCAUGUUUCUAGUUUCAAAUGCCACUGACGGCACCUUAAACGGAUUUUUCUACACCAAGAUAUAAGCAUUUUACUGAAAUUGGUCAGGGACAUCCAAAAAUCUGAAAUGUCAUUUUUCACAUGUGAAAAACUCCUUUUUCUCUUUUUGCACCAAAAUGUUUUUAUUCAAACCAUCCAUACAUUUCUUAUAUAAUUCCAAAACAACAUAUUCCAGGCAUUUCCAUCCCUCAUGAUUUGAAGGAAAUUUUCGAAACUAAGUUGAGCUUCCAACUCAACCUUCGGCCAUCACAAAGGAAAUUCCAGCAUUUGUAUACUAACCUCUUUAAUUCAAUCCUUCAAUAUAUUAAAUAUUUCCUCGCCAAACCACUUAAAUUUUGCAUCUCUUAUGUAGCUCAAGACCAUCAUAGUCCAAGGAAACAAUAAAAUAAAUGUUCAGAAACCAUUUAAACUUUCUAAAGGCAAACUGAAAUUUCUGGUUCAACCUUGCUUGCGGCUUCAAAGAUUUUCCAGCAAACAAUUCAACUUUAGUUCAAAUUUCCUUGGUUUAAACAUGGUGUUAGUUACUCAAUUUCAACAUUUUAAACACCUAGCUAGUUACUAAAAUUUUCCACUUUCAAAAUUGAGUUCAAACUAUCAUUAUUAACAUCAAAAUUUCCAGAAAUUUUCCUGCUUGGGCUCGGAUGAUCAUGCCUUGAAGCAGAAUGUACUCUUAACCUUUAUUUCUCUGAUUUAAAACUUACUAAUCAACUACAUGCAGGGCCUAAUUAACUUGUUAUUAGUCAUCUAAUCAUGGUUAUAAGUUUAAACAACAACACUAAACCAAAUCAGGUUGCAAAGCUUUAAGCUAAGCUCUCGGCCAAACCAGAAAUUCUUCCAGCAUUUGUUUAGUCACAAACCAUUUUUUUUCUAUGGUUAAUUCCUGUAUUUUGCACUUAAUUUCACAUGCACAACUGCUGAAUUUAACUAGCUAUCAUAUCCAGACCAGAAAUCAGUUUGAUAGCAACCAAAUUGAACCAAGUUAAGCUGUAAUAAUUAAGCUAGGCUCUCGGCAGAAUUUUCUUACCCCAAACUAACCCAGAAAUUUAUCUCUGCUUUAACACUUCAUUCGAAUGCCCAAUUCAUCAUACAUGGUCUUAAUCUUCCAGUUCUUACUCAGCUAAAGACAUUUGGGUGUUCAGAUUAUCACACAAAACAAAAUUGGAGCUGCAAUAACACCUCAAGUCUCGGUAGCAACAAUUUCUCAAAACAGAAAUUUUCCUAAGGUUUUGAUUUCAGCAUCCGAUUGUAUAAUCUAAACAUGUAAUCUCUGAUAUAGCUUGAUCAACUAAUAAUCAACCUAUUUUAGACCAGAAAUUACCUCAGCUAGCAACCAAUCUUUCACACGAAAUUCCAGAAAUUUCCUUCCUAGCUCUCGGCCAAGUGCAGAUGGUGAUUCUGGUUUGGAGUUGCGGCUGAAAAGGGUUGUGGAUGAAGGUAGAAUUGGUGAAGCUUCCGGCAGAUUCCCUUCCCUGGCUUUGCUCCAACUCACGGCUGAAUCCAAGAAGUUUCCGGCAGCUCUCUCCCUCUCUCGGUGCUCUCGGUCAAGGCAGGGAAGAAAUGAGGUUUUGUUGUGAAUCAAGAAUGAAAGAGUAGAGUGGUAUUUGGAGUGAAGUUGAUUUCGACUUUGGUUUGUGCAGAGAAAGAGUCGGCUGAAAUGGUUGUGAGAUGUAGUGUGAAUUUGAUCAAGUGGUUUUGUGGUGCCGCGGUUUACGAAAGGUUGCGUAUCGAAUUGGUUAAAAUGCAAUUGGUCGAAGUUGCGGUGAUGGGAAUUUGUCAUAAGGGUCGUUUGGUUUCGCAUGGAAUUGUAAGGUCUUUUGGUCUUUUCACUUGGUUUCCUAAUCUCAACUUAAUUUCUCAAAUUUAUCCUCAAGGGUGAUUUGAACGCCUAAUAACCCCUCCCAAUAUACUUAACCAUUUUUAUCGAAUAAAUAUCGAUUAAACUUAAAUAUUAAGGUUCCUAACAUUAUAUAGCGAUUAACUUAAUUAUCCGCAUCUCCAAUUGUUUAUUCUCAAGAAUUAAAGUUAUCCUACACAAAAUUUAUCGAAUUUUCAUGCCUUAAGUAUGUUUAGUAUAGGAAUAUCAUAUUUAUCUAAAAUUCAUUGAUUUUUAUCUUAACGCGGAAAUUCCUAUAAACAUUUAACAUUAUUAACGAUUAAAACUAGCUAUCGGAAAUCAAAGAAUUUAUUUUAAAGUAAUAGAAUUAAUCCAACUCAAGAAAUAUUAAUUUAGUAUAGCAAAACCGAAUAAUUCAAUAUUGGCACAAUUAUAUUAUUUAUUACAUAGAAAUUAUCUUUACCCUUUUAUUUCAAAACAAUUAAUUACAAUACUAGAAUUCAAAAAAAUUAAUUAUUAGAUCAAUGAAAUAGUUUACCAUUGAAAUAUGAAGUUAAUGUAACAAAACUAAGAAGUUUAGUAGUUUAGCACAAUUCUUUUAUUUUGCACAUAACGUUUAUUUCUACGUACUUACUUAAAAACAAUUGGACUUAGUGCUAAAAUUUAUUAAAGAAUUAAAAUGCAAAUAAAAUAUGCACUGAUAUUUAUAUGUCUAUUUUCAGGGUUCUCACAUCCUCCCCUCCUUAAAAUGAAUUUUGUCCUCAAAAUUCUUACUUUCUUGAGAAACAAAUCGGAAUACUUUUUCUGCAUUUCUUCUUCUAACUCCCAAGUUGCUUCUUCGGAAAUCCAAAGUUCCAAUACUUUUGUUCUGCAAUCAAGCUUAGCAUGGUGAUGAGCUAGAAAAUUCUUUCAUAUAAUAACAUCAUAACCUCGUAUGUCCAAUUUGAUUAGAUCCACUAGUAUUUUAUGCCCUUCAAUCCAGAAUUCACAGUUAUUAUAAGUUAAGCUACUGAUUAAAAUCUUAUUACCCAUUGAUAUUUUAACUUCAAGGUCAAGGGUAAUCUAACAGGUUUGACGUUAACUCCGGAUGGAAAAGUUUGGUUCACAAAUGAAUGAGUUGCGCUAUGAUCAAUUAACACUCUAGCUAAUUGAUGAGAAAUGGGAAGAGUACCUUCCACGGCUUCCGAAGAAUCAGGUACAGGUUGGUCAUUUAUAGCGUAAACCCUGGUAGGAACUUUCGGCCUAUUCUCUCUAAUGUUGGCUGGUUCAUCAUUCAGGGUAUUAUCCUCUUGUAUUUUCGGGCAACCGGCAAUUUGGUGCUCGCUGCUUCCACACUUCAAGCACUUUCCUGCUUUCCUCCAGCAACCGGCCUCGGUAUGUCCAGGUUUCUUGCAAUACCCACAAGUUCCCAGGAAAGUUAUCGCACGACUUCCUUGUGGAGCGUUCCUAGGUUGACCUCUUCCAUUUGGUCCCCCGUUAGUUCCAUUAUUUCUUCCUCCGGCACCUCUGGCACCAGUUCCUCGACCCACUUUGGCC
rnacentral:lncRNA from 1 species